rnacentral:rRNA from 1 species
AUACGGGAGGCAGCAGUGGGGAAUAUUGGACAAUGGGCGCAAGCCUGAUCCAGCAAUGCCGCGUGAGUGAUGAAGGCCUUCGGGUUGUAAAGCUCUGUCGGGAGGGACGAAAAAGCAGCCUAACAAACUGCGUUGACGGUACCUUCAAAGGAAGCACCGGCUAACUCUGUGCCAGCAGCCGCGGUAAUACAGAGGGUGCAAGCGUUGUUCGGAAUUACUGGGCGUAAAGCGCGUGUAGGCGGCGGCGUAAGUCGGAUGUGAAAUCCCUCGGCUCAACCGAGGAAGUGCAUCCGAUACUGCGUUGCUUGAGUGUCGGAGGGGGUGGCGGAAUUCCCGGUGUAGAGGUGAAAUUCGUAGAUAUCGGGAGGAACACCUGUGGCGAAGGCGGCCACCUGGACGACGACUGACGCUGAGACGCGAAAGCGUGGGUAGCAAACAGGAUUAGAUACCCCGGUAGG